GGGGGAAUAUUGCGCAAUGGGGGGAAACCCUGACGCAGCAACGCCGCGUGAUUGAAGAAGGCCUUCGGGUUGUAAAGAUCUUUAAUCAGGGACGAAGAAAGUGACGGUACCUGAAGAAUAAAGCUCCGGCUAACUACGUGCCAGCAGCCGCGGUAAUACGUAGGGAGCAAGCGUUAUCCGGAUUUACUGGGUGUAAAGGGCGUGUAGGCGGAUGAACAAGUCAGAUGUGAAAUCUGGGGGCUCAACCCCCAAACUGCAUUUGAAACUGUUGAUCUUGAGUGAUGGAGAGGCAGGCGGAAUUCCUAGUGUAGCGGUGAAAUGCGUAGAUAUUAGGAGGAACACCAGUGGCGAAGGCGGCCUGCUGGACAUUAACUGACGCUGAGGCGCGAAAGC
rnacentral:rRNA from 1 species